rnacentral:rRNA from 1 species
AUUGAACGCUGGCGGCAUGCCUUACACAUGCAAGUCGAACGGCAGCACGGGAGCUUGCUCCUGGUGGCGAGUGGCGAACGGGUGAGUAAUACAUCGGAACGUACCCAGGAGUGGGGGAUAACGUAGCGAAAGUUACGCUAAUACCGCAUAUUCUGUGAGCAGGAAAGCGGGGGAUCGCAAGACCUCGCGCUCUUGGAGCGGCCGAUGUCGGAUUAGCUAGUUGGUGAGGUAAAAGCUCACCAAGGCGACGAUCCGUAGCAGGUCUGAGAGGAUGGUCUGCCACACUGGGACUGGGACACGGCCCAGACUCCUACGGGAGGCAGCAGUAGGGAAUUUUGGACGAUGGGGGCAACCCUGUUCCAGCCAUGCCGCGUGAGUGAAGAAGGCCUUCGGGUUGUAAAGCUCUUUCGGCGGGGAAGAAAUGGCAACGGCCAAUAUCCGUUGUUGAUGACGGUACCCGCAUAAGAAGCACCGGCUAACUACGUGCCAGCCGCCGCCGUAA